GGGCCCGGCCGAGAGGGAAGCGGCUGGUCUCCAGGGGCCGGGGCCCCGCCGAGAAGAAAGGGGCUGGCCUCCAGGGGCGAGGUUAUGAAGCCAAGGGCCAUGCGCCACACACUGUGAAGCAGGGGAGGAGAUGAGCACAGGCCCUGCCUUCAUAAGAGUCAUCGAGUUUGAGCACUGGUGAGACCAGCAGUAUCGGCAUCACCAGGGAAUUGUCAGGAUAUUCUCAAGCCCCACCAUUAAAGAUGAGGCCCAGCAAUGUGUGUGGCAUGUAGACAUCAGACCGGUUGGAACCAGAAGGUAGACGAGGCCGACUCCCCAUUACCUCACCACCAACCAAUCAGGAGAAUGUCCUCUGGCUGACCACGCCCUGCUCCUUGAACACCAUCUGGGAAAGAAGACAAAGCACUCUACUUGGAAGCCAUCAAGAGGCACACUGUCCAGAAAGAAGCAAAUAUGCUGAGAGGUUCAGAUGCAGGUUAUAUGGUCAAUCCUUUAUCUACAGAAGAAAGGAGGACACAAAACACACCUGGGUCAGCAUGUGAGCAACAGAUGGUCAUCUAAACAAAUACUACCUUGCUGAUUUCUUGCUUUUUUAUAUUUUCAUGUUAUUUUUCCCUUGAGAGAUUCACAGUGAGCUCUGAGCAAAUAAAAGUUAUUGAAUUUUUCGAACACUUAGAAAUAAAUGUCUACAUUCUUCUCUAUUCUAUUCUUGUCUCCAUUCUUAGACAGUGGCUGUGA